rnacentral:rRNA from 1 species
UGCCAGCCGCCGCGGUAAUACGGAGGGUGCAAGCGUUAAUCGAAAUUACUGGGCGUAAAGCGCGCGUAGGCGGUUAUUUAGGUCAGAUGUGAAAGCCCAGGGCUCAACCUUGGAACUGCAUUUGAAACUGGAUAACUUGAGUAUGGUAGAGGUAAGCGGAAUUUCCAGUGUAGCAGUGAAAUGCGUAGAGAUUGGAAGGAAUAUCGAUGGCGAAGGCAGCUUACUGGGCCAAUACUGACGCUGAGGUGCGAAAGCGUGGGUAGCGAACGGGAUUAGAUA